rnacentral:lncRNA from 1 species
CCUUGCCGCCUUCCUGCACUCUCCAGGACAACCUAGGUUAGUCUUGGAACUUCUCGCUGUUUUUCUAUUUUUUCUCCUUCGUGCUCUGUUCAUUUAGCUUCCUUGAGGGCCUGCUCGCUAUUUUUUCUGAUUUUUUCGAGAUUUUGUAGCUUUUGUUUAAUCCAAAAUAUCUUCUGAUAUCUCCUCUUCUAGUAGUUCUAAGAGUUCGUC